CCUACGGGUGGCAGCAGUGGGGAAUUUUCCGCAAUGGGCGAAAGCCUGACGGAGCAAUGCCGCGUGGAGGAAGACGGCCCGUGGGUUGUAAACUCCUUUUCUCAGAGAAGAAGCUCUGACGGUAUCUGAGGAAUAAGCAUCGGCUAACUCCGUGCCAGCAGCCGCGGUAAUACGGAGGAUGCAAGCGUUAUCCGGAAUCAUUGGGCGUAAAGCGUCUGUAGGUGGUUUUGUAAGUCCGCUGUAAAAGAGUACAGCUUAACUGUAUAUGGGCAGUGGAAACUACAAGACUGGAGUGUGGUAGGGGUAGAGGGAAUUCCCGGUGUAGCGGUGAAAUGCGUAGAUAUCGGGAAGAACACCAACGGCGAAAGCACUCUACUGGGCCAACACUGACACUGAGAGACGAAAGCUAAGGGAGCGAAAAGGAUUAGAUACCCUUGUAG
rnacentral:rRNA from 1 species